GACGAACGCUGGCGGCGUGCUUAACACAUGCAAGUCGAGCGGUAAGGCCCUUUCGGGGGUACACGAGCGGCGAACGGGUGAGUAACACGUGGGUGACCUGCCCUCAGCUCUGGGAUAAGCCUGGGAAACCGGGUCUAAUACUGGAUAUGACUCCAUGACGCAUGUUGUGGGGUGGAAAGCCUUGUGCGGCUGAGGAUGGGCCCGCGGCCUAUCAGGCUUGUUGGUGGGGUGANGGCCUACCAAGGCGACGACGGGUAGCCGGCCUGAGAGGGCGACCGGCCACACUGGGACUGAGACACGGCCCAGACUCCUACGGGAGGCAGCAGUGGGGAAUCUUGCGCAAUGGGCGAAAGCCUGACGCAGCGACGCCGCGUGAGGGAUGACGGCCU
rnacentral:rRNA from 1 species